rnacentral:rRNA from 1 species
GCCAGACUCCUACGGGAGGCAGCAGUGGGGAAUAUUGCACAAUGGGGGGAACCCUGAUGCAGCGACGCCGCGUGGGCGAGGAAGUAUUUCGGUAUGUAAAGCCCUAUCGGCAGGGAAGAAGAAAUGACGGUACCUGAAUAAGAAGCACCGGCUAAAUACGUGCCAGCAGCCGCGGUAAUACGUAGGGGGCAAGCGUUAUCCGGAUUUACUGGGUGUAAAGGGAGCGUAGACGGUCCUGCAAGCCAGAUGUGAAAGCCCGGGGCUCAACCCCGGGACUGCAUUUGGAACUGUAAGGCUAGAGUGUCGGAGAGGCAGGCGGAAUUCCUAGUGUAGCGGUGAAAUGCGUAGAUAUUAGGAGGAACACCAGUGGCGAAGGCGGCCUGCUGGACGAUGACUGACGUUGAGGCUCGAAAGCGUGGGGAGCAAACAGGAUUAGAUACCCGGGUAGC